rnacentral:rRNA from 1 species
GACGAACGCUGGCGGCGUGCUUAACACAUGCAAGUCGAACGGAAAGGCCCUGCUUUUGUGGGGUGCUCGAGUGGCGAACGGGUGAGUAACACGUGAGUAACCUGCCCUUGACUUUGGGAUAACUUCAGGAAACUGGGGCUAAUACCGGAUAGGAGCUCCUGCUGCAUGGUGGGGGUUGGAAAGUUUCGGCGGUUGGGGAUGGACUCGCGGCUUAUCAGCUUGUUGGUGGGGUAGUGGCUUACCAAGGCUUUGACGGGUAGCCGGCCUGAGAGGGUGACCGGCCACAUUGGGACUGAGAUACGGCCCAGACUCCUACGGGAGGCAGCAGUGGGGUAUAUUGCACAAUGGGCGGAAGCCUAAUGCAGCAACGCCGCGUGCGGGAUGACGGCCUUCGGGUUGUAAACCGCUUUCGCCUGUGACGAAGCGUGAGUGACGGUAAUGGGUAAAGAAGCACCGGCUAACUACGUG